CAGGCAAAACAGACAGCCGCCGCGUGGCAACACGGGGAGGAAAGUCCGGGCUACACAGAGCACAAUGCCAGCUAACGGCUGGGCGUGGUAACACGACGGAAAGUGGCGCAGAGAGCAAGACCGCCGAUGGCGCAUCGCGCACAGGCAAGGGUGAAAAGGUGCGGUAAGAGCGCACCGUGCCGUUGGUAACAACGCGCAGCAGGCUAAACCCCAUUGGUAGCAAGACCAAACAGAACGCAUUGACGCUGCUCGCCGAGCGUUCGGGUAGGUUGCUUGAACUUUGUGGCAACGCAAAGUCUAGAUGAAUGGCUGUUCAACGACAGAACCCGGCUUAUCGUUUUACCUGCGCC
rfam:Kingella oralis ATCC 51147 genomic scaffold Scfld0, whole genome shotgun sequence.